rnacentral:rRNA from 1 species
UACGGGGGGGGCAAGCGUUGUUCGGAAUUACUGGGCGUAAAGGGCGCGUAGGCGGUUCGAUAAGUCAGCUGUGAAAACCAUGGGCUUAACUCAUGGCCUGCAGUUGAGACUGUCGGGCUGGAGUGUGGGAGAGGAGAGUGGAAUUCCUGGUGUAGCGGUGAAAUGCGUAGAUAUCAGGAGGAACACCGGUGGCGAAGGCGGCUCUCUGGACCACAACUGACGCUGAGGCGCGAAGGCUAGGGGAGCAAACAGG